GACAGCAGCCGCCACGGGAAUACGUAGGUGGCGAGCGUUGUCCGGAAUCAUUGGGCGUAAAGGGAGCGCAGGCGGGCAUGUAAGUCUUUCUUAAAAGUUCGGGGCUCAACCCCGUGAUGGGAAAGAAACUACAUGUCUUGAGUACAGGAGAGGAAAGCGGAAUUCCCAGUGUAGCGGUGAAAUGCGUAGAUAUUGGGAGGAACACCAGUGGCGAAGGCGGCUUUCUGGACGAAAACUGACGCUGAGGCGCGAAAGCCAGGGGAGCGAACGGGAUUAGAUACCCCAGUAGUCCCUGUCUCUUAUACA
rnacentral:rRNA from 1 species